AUUCUAUCAUAUAUAAUUAUAAAUGAUUAUUAACCCUUAGAGUGCUAUGGACGCAUAUAUGCGUUUGGCGAAAGCUAUCGGUGUGGACUAAAGACACACAUAUGCGUUUUCUGUAAAUGUUCGGCAUGGACUAAGGACGCAUAUAUGCGUUUGUCAAUUUUUCCGAACACCUACGCAGAAGUAAUACCAUUACGUUUGUGUGAGAUAAAUAUAAAUGCAUUCCUUAUAUA